GGCACUGCAAAUUAUGGAAUUCACUACACCGGGCACCCAAAGGUGCUUGAAGGGUAUAGUGACUCAAACUGGAUCUCAGAUGCUGAUGAGAUAAAGGCCACGAGCGGAUAUGUAUUCACUCAUGGAGGUGGCGCUGUUUCUUGGAAGUCUUGCAAGCAGACCAUCUUAACGAGGUCAACAAUGGAAGCAGAACUCACAGCACUAGAUACAGCUACGGUCGAAGAAGAUUGGCUUCGUCGGCUCUUGAAUGACUUGCCGGUUGUUAAGAAACCUGUACCGGGUAUCCUUAUGAACUGCGACAAUCAAACUGUGAUUACGAAAGUGGGCAGCUCAAAGGAUAACAUGAAGUCAUCAAGACACGUUUAG
rnacentral:rRNA from 1 species